GUCGAACGCUUCAGCAAUGAAGAGUGGCAGACGGGUGAGUAACGCGUGGGAACCUUCCCAGUGGUACGGAAUAGCCCAGGGAAACUUGGGGUAAUACCGUAUAAGCCCUUAGGGGGAAAGAUUUAUCGCCAUUGGAUGGGCCCGCGUCGGAUUAGCUUGUUGGUGAGGUAAAAGCUCACCAAGGCGACUAUCCGUAGCUGGUCUGAGAGGAUGAUCAGCCACACUGGGACUGAGACACGGCCCAGACUCCUACGGGAGGCAGCAGUGGGGAAUAUUGGACAAUGGGCGCAAGCCUGAUCCAGCCAUGCCGCGUGAGUGACGAAGGCCUUAGGGUUGUAAAGCUCUUUUGGCGGGGACGAUAAUGACGGUACCCGCAGAAUAAGCUCCGGCUAACUUCGUGCCAGCAGCCGCGGUAAUACGAAGGGAGCUAGCGUUGUUCGGAAUUACUGGGCGUAAAGCGCACGUAGGCGGACUUGUUAGUCAGGGGUGAAAUCCCUGGGCCCAACCUCGGAACUGCCUUUGAUACUGCAAGUCUGGAGUCCGGAAGAGGUGGGUGGAAUUCCUAGCGUAGAGGUGAAAUUCGUAGAUAUUAGGAAGAACACCGGUGGCGAAGGCG
rnacentral:rRNA from 1 species